GACGAACGCUGGCGGCGUGCCUAACACAUGCAAGUCGAACGGGGCAGCAAUGCCCAGUGGCGAACGGGUGCGUAACACGUGAGGAACUUGUCCAUCGGCGGGGGAUAGCCGGCCCAACGGCCGGGUAAUACCGCGUACGUCGGCGAGACCGCAUGGUCUUGCCGGGAAAGCAGCAAUGCACCGAUGGAGAGCCUCGCGGCCUAUCAGCUAGUUGGUGAGGUAAUGGCUCACCAAGGCGACGACGGGUAGCUGGUCUGAGAGGAUGAUCAGCCACAUUGGGACUGAGACACGGCCCAGACUCCUACGGGAGGCAGCAGUGGGGAAUAUUGCGCAAUGGGCGAAAGCCUGACGCAGCGACGCCGCGUGUGGGAUGACGGCCUCGGGUUGUAACCGACUGUCGCGAGGACG
rnacentral:rRNA from 1 species